GGAGGGGGGAAACUAUGGCGACGGCAACGGCGGCGGUGGCGGUAGCACUACCUGCUCGUGGCGAUGGCGUCCGGAUGGUGGUGGCUGGGCAGCUCGGUUUCCCGAUCUGGUGCGGCGUCGACGGACCGAUCACGGCUUCGCAGGUGGGGCACGACAACAAGCCGUCGAAGCAACGGCGUCGGGACUGAGGCGAACGGCUGCGGCACGGCGUCCGGCGGCAACAACAACAGCAAAAAAACUCGACCGGACCCUCCUCGGCCUUGAUUUCUCCUCACUCAGGCCAGAUCCGAGCCUCCACCGGCCGGAUCUGACCUUCUCGA
rnacentral:lncRNA from 1 species